UCCGCGUUAGUACAAUGGUUAGUAUUCCUGCCUGUCACGCAGGAGAUCGGAGUUCGAUUCUCCGACGCGGAG
rnacentral:tRNA from 1 species